rnacentral:lncRNA from 1 species
UUUCUUUAGUAUUUCUCAAACUUUUGCGGGUGAAUAAUGUUCAGAAUUACCUCUGCAUUACUUUAAAUCACUCAUAUUUGUUUUAUCUGCAGUUUUAGAGCGAAAAUUUGACGAGAAAGUUAACUGAUUCAAUCGCCGAACUGCCGAAGGCUUCGGUCGAAGCACGCGGUAAGCAUAACAAUGUCCAUUAAACUAAAGCUCGUGUUCCUUGUUUAUUACUGGUAUUUUAAACUUCCUUAUACAACUACAACUUUUUGGUAGCAUUUUCAAAAUGUUUUCUAAACUUUUUUAAAAAUAUGGUGGAAAUUUUUGUCCGUAAUUCGUAAAGCGAAAUGCCGCAUCCAUUUAUUUAAUACUUAGGGCUUUUGAAUUCGAGAUGAAUGCCUCUACUCGCCAUGUCCCUUGAAAGUAUGUUUUAAAUUAAUAUAUCUAAAUUCUUUUUUAUUGCAGCCUACAGCUCAAAACCCAUCAUCUAGAAAGCGAACGGCAAAGAAAAUCCAGUGAAAAACAAGUUGAAAAAGACCAUGAUUCCAUGAAAGGCAAUUACAAAUUAAAACAGAUAGACAAUUGUGACGGAGAUCUUUCGUUGGUGCCAAGUGCCAACUGCUGAACCGUAUGGCUAUCAAGCUCGCAAAGUAUCGACGUUGCGUCCGAUACAUUGGUCGAACACUAUAUCCAAUGCACAAUACCAAAGCCUGACAGUGAUGGAGCGGCCAGUGUGCCAAGUUUAAGUGGGAUGCAAAGAAUUUGUCAAGCCCCAACAGACGUUAUACCAUGCUCAGAGACUACCAAAUCGAGAUGCCCAACCAGUUAGCCACACCCCCAAAACAAAGACCACGCACAAAACUGAAGGAUGCCUACUAUUAGCCUAAAGAUUUCAGAUGUGUCGAAAGUACGUGGGGGCCACCCUGAGAACGCCCAAAUGCACAAAACAAAUUUAAACGUGGCAUAUUUUCAAUAAUUUCGAAACUUUAUUUCAAUUUUACACUUUUUUAGUAUUUGUGAGAAGCUCUUUAACGAAAUCAAAAAUUUUUGAAAUCCGAAAGGUUUUAUCUGG